GUACAGGAUGGGCAUGCGUAACAUUAGCUAGUUGGUAAGGUAACGGCGUUACCAAUGCUUUGAUGUUUAGGGGUCCUGAGAGGGUGGUCCCCCACACUGGUACUGUUACACGGACCAGACUCCUACGGGAGGCAGCAGUGAGGAAUAUUGGUCAAUGGGCGCAAGCCUGAACCAGACAUCCCGCGUGCAGGAAGACGGACCUAUGGGUUGUAAACUGCUUUUCCAGUGAGAGAAACUUGCGUACGCGUUGCGCAAUUGACGGUACCCUGGGAAUAAGCAUCGGCUAACUCCGUGCCAGCAGCCGCGGUAAUACGGAGGAUGCGAGCGUUAUCCGGAUUCAUUGGGUUUAAAGGGUGCGUAGGCGGACUAUUAAGUCAGUGGUGAAAUCCUGCAGCUU
rnacentral:rRNA from 1 species